rnacentral:lncRNA from 1 species
GCCAGACAACGAUAGGAGCUGUUGUUGCUGCCUGCACGUAACAGAUCUUGUCUUCCGUUGCUACGUCUACACCCAAGAGCUACCAGGUGCUACCGCUCUUAGUAUUUUUUGCUCCGCAUAUUAAUUUUGUCAAGAAUUUUUCUAUCGGCUUGUACUGCUUUGUGUACACAUAUUUAUCUAUUCAUGGCAUCCAUGAAGUACGAUCUUUCGCUGCUCGACCGCGAC